CAAGUGUCAAGGAUUGACAAAGUUUGAUGCAGUUUUUUAUGUUUUGAUAAAAUAAACCUGAAAUUAUUUAACAUUUUGCGGUCUUAAUUCUUCAGAAAUAACAAAAUCUUACAAAAUGAUUGACGUAAAAACUAAAAUUAAUUCUUUCUUUAUUUUUAACUCUAGUUUUGGGCCCCGGGAAGGCGAUGAGCUACAAAGGAUAUUAUUCUAUCAUCCUAGCCAGGCGAGUGCUGAUACCCAGAAGAUGCAAGUCGGGCUAUGUGAAGCUGUAGUCAAAUUCAUGCUAACAUUCUCAUCAGAACCUUGUGAAGCUUUACAAACACAGACAAAAAGAUAUAUCUUCUAUCAACCAGAAAAAGGAUAUUGGAUGGUUUUGGUUGUCAGAAUACCAUACACAACAAAAGCAUUGUCAGCUAUUGGAGAAAGUCGAGGAGCUGAUGUUGUUGAUCCCUCUGUGAUGUUUGAAUUACUCAAAUCUGCUUACAAGAUGUUCAGAAUGUUCAAAGGGCUUUUCAAAGAUUACACAACUGAGGAAAUUUACACAGUUUGUGACCAAUUCUUCACUCCUUACAUAACUUCAAGAAAUCUAUCAAAUGACAUCACAGAUGUUAUUCAAGGCAUCAACUAUUUGCCUUUAGAUAAGAACUCAUUCUUCAAAGUGCUCUGCUUCAUUGACAUAUUAGAAGUUAACUACCCGCAGUUCAAAUGUAUUUCUUUUAUAUACAAUGAACAACUUAUAUGGAAUGGCUUAGCAACACAAGACAUGUUAACAUUAUACCAAUACUUGGUGCAGUCAUUACUACCAAGACAAGUUGAAAAGGAGAUCCAAGGAGGUGCAGUAGCAGCCGCCCAGAGACAUGGCCGGUUUAUCCAUCCACCUGAAGGUAUCCACAGCCAAGAGGACUUGCAGAAACUGGUGAAAGUACACGUCAUGAAAGAAGAUGACUUGGAAACUAAACAGUAUUAUUUGGUCAUCUACAGAACUAUGAGUGCUACUGUUUGUUUCACUGUUGAUGUUGAUGUGGAACUACAAUUCGAAAUGUUCAGGUCACUGGAUGCAUUUAUUGGACCCCAGCUCUCUGGUAUAGCAUCUACUAUAAGUGAGCAAUGCACAUUACAUGCACUGCAAACUGCACAGCUGGCUAUCUCUGAACACAAAUUUGUGUAUUUCAAUAGAUUGAAUUUAGCAUUUAAAAGCUCUCCACCAAUGAGCAAAUUACACCCAUCUGCUGCAAUUAAGCCUGAAGUUUUAAGUAUAAUUUCAAAUAUACACUCUGAGAAAGAAAGCCUUGGAAACUACGGAGAAAUAAUAAUCAAAACUCCAGAUGAGUACUGGAUCACAGGGAAGGCAUCUAACGACAGAGAGUUUUAUGUUAUCAUACAAGAGAAGAAUGCCAAUCUCAAAGAAAUAGCAGAUGAAGUACGCCGGAUAUGUGAAGCUCAAAUGAAGGGGAUAUUCUUUUAUCCUAUGUAAAUACUACGAAUUUCUGGAGUUUAAAGGAAAACGUAUUAGGUAUUCAAAUUAUCUCAAUCAACUAGCAACAGACUAAGUUCUUAUUUAUAUUAUUGGAUGAUUAUGCAAAUGCUAUGUAAAUAAUGUUAUCUUGUUACCUACCUAUAAAUAUAUUUUAUAUAUAAAAUAAAACAACUUGUUUGUCUUAUAA
rnacentral:misc_RNA from 1 species